UACGUAGGGCGCAAGCGUUAUCCGGAAUUAUUGGGCGUAAAGAGCUCGUAGGCGGUUUGUCGCGUCUGCUGUGAAAGACCGGGGCUCAACUCCGGUUCUGCAGUGGGUACGGGCAGACUAGAGUGAUGUAGGGGAGACUGGAAUUCCUGGUGUAGCGGUGAAAUGCGCAGAUAUCAGGAGGAACACCUGAGGUGAAGACGGGUUGCUGGGCCGACACUGACGCUGAGUGCGCGAAAGCCAGGGGAGCAAACGGG
rnacentral:rRNA from 1 species